AGUCUGAUAAGAAGUCAAUGGCGU
rnacentral:miRNA from 1 species